AGUGAACGCUGGCGGUAGGCCUAACACAUGCAAGUCGAACGGCAGCACAGUAAGAGCUUGCUCUUACGGGUGGCGAGUGGCGGACGGGUGAGGAAUACAUCGGAAUCUACUUUUUCGUGGGGGAUAACGUAGGGAAACUUACGCUAAUACCGCAUACGACCUACGGGUGAAAGCAGGGGAUCUUCGGACCUUGCGCGAUUGAAUGAGCCGAUGUCGGAUUAGCUAGUUGGCGGGGUAAAGGCCCACCAAGGCGACGAUCCGUAGCUGGUCUGAGAGGAUGAUCGGCCACACGGGAACGGAGACACGGUCCAGACUCCUACGGGAGGCAGCAGUGGGGAAUAUUGGACAAUGGGCGCAAGCCUGAUCCAGCCAUACCGCGUGGGUGAAGAAGGCCUUCGGGUUGUAAAGCCCUUUUGUUGGGAAAGAAAAGCAGCAGGUUAAUACCCCGCUGUUCUGACGGUACCCAAAGAAUAAGCACCGGCUAACUUCGUG
rnacentral:rRNA from 1 species